GUUGACAAAGUAAUUUUAAUCUUGCUAGAGCUGUGGCUGAUGAAGAAACAGAGGCGAAUUUUUAUAAAGGAGAAGGCCCAUUUGCUGACCAGAAGGUUCUUCCUGAUCUGGACAAAGACGGAGUUCUUGGACUUGGGCUAAGAGUUGCCAAGCAGAUACCUUAAAGUUCUGCAAUUGGAGAAACUGGCGUGCAGCCUGUUGGUUAUACUCUUGUUUCAUGAAAAACUAUAAUACUCUGGUUUUGAUGGAUUAUUAACGUAAUGGUAGCAAGCAAUGAUAAAUAAAGAGCACUUACGCAGCUGGUAAGGUAGCUGAGAUUAUGUGUGCAGAUUUUGCCCAUGAAGUAAUUUCAGUAUGUGUACCUCCAGUUUAUCCCCCACAAUCCUAAUGAGACGUGAUUUAGUUUCCUGUUUUAUUUGUAUUUAUUUCAUUGAUUCGCUGUGUAUAUUUAUUGUCUCUCAAGGACUUGAUUCUUGCUUAGAAUAGGAAAUCCUUUGUGUAGACACCAAGCAAAGCAUUGUAUAUAAUUAUCACACGAUUGUUCAAUGAAAAUCAUUAAGAAUAUUCAAAACCUUUCAGAUCCAUGGUCAUGGAUGGGCUUGCAUUCGCAUAGUAAACACAUGAACAAUUUCUGAAUUUAUUCAUAC